rnacentral:rRNA from 1 species
UACGGGGGGAGCAAGCGUUGUUCGGAUUUACUGGGCGUAAAGGGCGCGUAGGCGGCCAGCACAAGUCAGUUGUGAAAUCUCCGAGCUUAACUCGGAAAGGUCAACUGAUACUGUGCGGCUAGAGUGCGGAAGGGGCAACUGGAAUUCUUGGUGUAGCGGUGAAAUGCGUAGAUAUCAAGAGGAACACCUGCGGCGAAGGCGACUUCCUGGCCUGUUCUUGACGCUGAGGCGCGAAAGCUAGGGUAGCAAACGGG